GCAAGUCGAACGGAAAGACCAUUAGUUUACUAAAGGCUUUUUAGUGGCGGACGGGUUAGUAACACGUGAGUAACCUACCUCGAAGUGGGGGAUAGCCUUCCGAAAGGAAGAUUAAUACCGCAUGUGACCUACGGGUCAAAGGUGCCUUCGGGUGCCGCUUUGAGAUGGGCUCGCGGCCUAUCAGCUAGAUGGUGAGGUAACGGCUCACCAGGGCAACGACGGGUAGCUGGUCUGAGAGGACGAUC
rnacentral:rRNA from 1 species